UUUUUUAAUAACCAAACAUCUUGUGCAUAAAGAAUUCACCAGUUAAUAUCUAUUAAAAUACUUCUUCCGUCCUAUAUUUUUUUAAUAAGUAAAACAAAAAAAACUUCAUUGAAAAGUACAAAAGGUGCACCCAAGUACACAAGGUAUAUAAGAGAGUCACCUAUCAUUACAUUUAAAUCAAGAAAAGUUAGCCCAUUGAAGUCUAUAGAGGGUGUCCAAAGGAAGAAAGUAUUGAAAGAUAUAAUUUUGAAUUCCUGGAACGUCUGUCCACGAUAGA